rnacentral:rRNA from 1 species
AUUGAACGCUGGCGGCAGGCCUAACACAUGCAAGUCGAACGGUAACAGGAAGAAGCUUGCUUCUUUGCUGACGAGUGGCGGACGGGUGAGUAAUGUCUGGGAAACUGCCUGAUGGAGGGGGAUAACUACUGGAAACGGUAGCUAAUACCGCAUAACGUCGCAAGACCAAAGAGGGGGACCUUCGGGCCUCUUGCCAUCGGAUGUGCCCAGAUAGGAUUAGCUAGUAGGUGGGGUAACGGCUCACCUAGGCGACGAUCCCUAGCUGGUCUGAGAGGAUGACCAGCCACACUGGAACUGAGACACGGUCCAGACUCCUACGGGAGGCAGCAGUGGGGAAUAUUGCACAAUGGGCGCAAGCCUGAUGCAGCCAUGCCGCGUGUAUGAAGAAGGCCUUCGGGUUGUAAAGUACUUUCAGCGGGGAGGAAGGGAGUAAAGUUAAUACCUUUGCUCAUUGACGUUACCCGCAGAAGAAGCACCGGCUAACUCCGUG